rnacentral:rRNA from 1 species
AGCAGCCGCGGUAAUUCCAGCUCCAAUAGCGUAUAUUAAAGUUGUUGCAGUUAAAAAGCUCGUAGUUGAAUUUCGGGGUUAGCAGGUCGGUCGUGCCAUCGGUAUGAACUGGUCUCGCUGAUCCCUCCCUCUUGACGAACUGUGAUGCCAUUAAUUUGGUGUCGCAGGGAAUCAGGACUGUUACUUUGAAAAAUUAGAGUGUUUAAAGCAGGCUCACGCUUGAAUACAUUAGCAUGGAAUAAUGAAAUAGGACGUUUGAUCCUAUUUUGUUGGUUUCUAGGAUUGACGUAAUGAUUAAUAGGGAUAGUUGGGGCAUUAGUAUUCAAUUGUCAGAGGUGAAAUUCUUGGAUUUAUUGAAGACUAACUACUUGCGUAAAGCAUUUGCCAAGGAUGUUUUUACAUUAAUCAAGAACGAAAGUUAGGGGGUCGAAGACGAUCAGAUACCGUC